UACGUAGGGUGCAAGCGUUAAUCGGAAUUACUGGGCGUAAAGCGUGCGUAGGCGGUUCGUUAAGUCUGUUGUGAAAGCCCCGGGCUCAACCUGGGAAUGGCAAUGGAUACUGGCGAGCUAGAGUGUGUCAGAGGAUGGUGGAAUUCCCGGUGUAGCGGUGAAAUGCGUAGAGAUCGGGAGGAACAUCAGUGGCGAAGGCGGCCAUCUGGGACACACGUGACGCUGAGGCACGAAAGCGUGGGGAGCAAACAGG
rnacentral:rRNA from 1 species